AUUGAACGCUGGCGGCAUGCUUUACACAUGCAAGUCGAACGGUAACAGGUUAAGCUGACGAGUGGCGAACGGGUGAGUAAUGCAUUGGAACGUGCCCGGUCGUGGGGGAUAACACUUCGAAAGAAGUGCUAAUACCGCAUACGAUCUGAGGAUGAAAGCGGGGGACCGUAAGGCCUCGCGCGAUCGGAGCGGCCGAUGUCAGAUUAGGUAGUUGGUGGGGUAAAGGCCCACCAAGCCGACGAUCUGUAGCUGGUCUGAGAGGACGACCAGCCACACUGGGAAUGGGACACGGCCCAGACUCCUACGGGAGGCAGCAGUGGGGAAUUUUGGACAAUGGGCGCAAGCCUGAUCCAGCAAUGCCGCGUGCAGGAAGAAGGCCUUCGGGUUGUAAACUGCUUUUGUACGGAGCGAAAAGGCUCCCUCUAAUACAGGGGGCUGAUGACGGUACCGUAAGAAUAAGCACCGGCUAACUACGUGCCAGCAGCCGCCGUAA
rnacentral:rRNA from 1 species